UCUCUGGUGGCUCAGAUGGUAAAGCGUCUGUCUACAAUGCCGGAGACCCAGGUUCAAUCCCUGGGUUGGGAA
rfam:Ovis aries breed Texel chromosome 2, whole genome shotgun sequence.